GCAGCUGUAGCUCAGAGGCAGAGCACCUGCUUUGUAUGCUGAAGGUCCUGGGUUCAGUUCCUGACAUCUCCA